AUUGAACGCUGGCGGCCGGCUUAACCCAUGCAAGUCGAGCGAGCGGCGGAUGGGUGAGUAAUGUCUGGGAAACUGCCUGAUGGAGGGGGAUAACUACUGGAAACGGUAGCUAAUACCGCAUACCAUCAGAUGUGCCCAGCUGGGAUUAGCUAGUUGGUGGGGUAAUGGCGCACCUAGGCGACGAUCCCUAGCGGGUCUGAGAGGAGAACCAGCCAACCUGGAACGGAGACACGGUCCAGACUCCUACGGGAGGCAGCAGGGGGGAAUAUUGCACAAGGGGGGAAAGCCUGAUGCAGCCAUGCCGCGUGUGUGAAGAAGGCCUUGGGGUUGAAAAGCACUUUCAGCGAGGAGGCGUUACUCGCAGAAGAAGCACCGGCUAACUCCGUGCUAGCAGCGGCGGUAUUC
rnacentral:rRNA from 1 species